rnacentral:rRNA from 1 species
ACGAUAUGCUUUGGGGAGCUGUAAGUAAGCUUUGAUCCAGAGAUUUCCGAAUGGGGAAACCCAGCAUGAGUUAUGUCAUGUUAUCGAUAUGUGAAUACAUAGCAUAUCAGAAGGCACACCCGGAGAACUGAAACAUCUUAGUACCCGGAGGAAGAGAAAGAAAAUUCGAUUCCCUUAGUAGCGGCGAGCGAAACGGGAAGAGCCCAAACCAACAAGCUUGCUUGUUGGGGUUGUAGGACACUCUAUACGGAGUUACAAAGGACGACAUUAGACGAAUCAUCUGGAAAGAUGAAUCAAAGAAGGUAAUAAUCCUGUAGUCGAAAAUGUUGUCUCUCUUGAGUGGAUCCUGAGUACGACGGAGCACGUGAAAUUCCGUCGGAAUCUGGGAGGACCAUCUCCUAAGGCUAAAUACUCUCUAGUGACCGAUAGUGAACCAGUACCGUGAGGGAAAGGUGAAAAGCACCCCGGAAGGGGAGUGAAAUAGAACCUGAAACCGUGUGCUUACAAGUAGUCAGAGCCCGUUAAUGGGUGAUGGCGUGCCUUUUGUAGAAUGAACCGGCGAGUUACGAUUUGAUGCAAGGUUAAGCAGUAAAUGUGGAGCCGUAGCGAAAGCGAGUCUGAAUAGGGCGUUUAGUAUUUGGUCGUAGACCCGAAACCAGGUGAUCUACCCUUGGUCAGGUUGAAGUUCAGGUAACACUGAAUGGAGGACCGAACCGACUUACGUUGAAAAGUGAGCGGAUGAACUGAGGGUAGCGGAGAAAUUCCAAUCGAACCUGGAGAUAGCUGGUUCUCUCCGAAAUAGCUUUAGGGCUAGCCUCAAGUGAUGAUUAUUGGAGGUAGAGCACUGUUUGGACGAGGGGCCCCUCUCGGGUUACCGAAUUCAGACAAACUCCGAAUGCCAAUUAAUUUAACUUGGGAGUCAGAACAUGGGUGAUAAGGUCCGUGUUCGAAAGGGAAACAGCCCAGACCACCAGCUAAGGUCCCAAAAUAUAUGUUAAGUGGAAAAGGAUGUGGCGUUGCCCAGACAACUAGGAUGUUGGCUUAGAAGCAGCCAUCAUUUAAAGAGUGCGUAAUAGCUCACUAGUCGAGUGACACUGCGCCGAAAAUGUACCGGGGCUAAACAUAUUACCGAAGCUGUGGAUUGUCCUUUGGACAAUGGUAGGAGAGCGUUCUAAGGGCGUUGAAGCAUGAUCGUAAGGACAUGUGGAGCGCUUAGAAGUGAGAAUGCCGGUGUGAGUAGCGAAAGA